UGAGGAAUAUUGGUCAAUGGGCGGGAGCCUGAACCAGCCAAGCCGCGUGAGGGAGGAAGGCCCCAUGGGUCGUAAACCUCUUUUGUCAGGGAACAAAAGCGAGUAUGUAUACUAGUCUGAGUGUACCUGAAGAAAAAGCAUCGGCUAACUCCGUGCCAGCAGCCGCGGUAAUACGGAGGAUGCGAGCGUUAUCCGGAUUUAUUGGGUUUAAAGGGUGCGUAGGCGGCGGUGCAAGUCAGCGGUAAAAGCCCGGGGCUCAACCCCGGCGAGCCGUUGAAACUGCAGUGCUAGAGAAGGCGAGAGGUACGCGGAAUGCGCAGUGUAGCGGUGAAAUGCUUAGAUAUUGCGCAGAACUCCGAUUGCGAAGGCAGCGUACUGGCGCCUGACUGACGCUGAGGCACGAAAGCGUGGGGAUCGAACAGGAUUAGAUACCC
rnacentral:rRNA from 1 species